GGCUGGGGGCGAGGCUGGGGGCGAGGGCAAGGAGGUUAAACGGAGACACAAGAGGACGAGAGGAUGGGAAGACAGAGUCCAAACCAGACUGCACCAGGUGGACUCAGACGGAGAGAAGCCGCGUAGAUGCCGUCUCUCCUCCUCACCGUGUUUCCGCGUGGACGGCAGCCUUUUCUGACCUCUUUUCCCUCCGGCGCCAUCAGCGGCGUUAAACAGACGCUGAGAGACACAAACGGUACAGAGCAGACAAGCUCAUUCUUCUCGGAGGACUUUAAUGUGAUUUUUCUUUCUGACGUGGCGUAGCGGUUAGCUCUUUCUCUCGGCCAUCAUGUCUUUGUUUUGAUGACGUGCACAGCCUGUCAUGAUUUUGUAAAGUUGAUGUUUUUAGAUAAUUUAUAUUCCAUGAUAUCAGUGUUUGUUUAUAACCUAGAGACAUAACACGACUUAACUUAAAUCUCCCUUAAUUUAUGACUCCAGUUUGCCUUUGUCAGAGUCUCAGAGCAGGGAAGCUUCAGGACGGAUCAGCUGUUUCAGACGGGCCAUCGUGUAAAUACACUUUUAUAAAACCUGAUGAAGGCAAACUACUAGUUGUUUGUGUAUAUUUCCCCCCAUGGACACUGAAUGUGCAUCAGUUCUCUGCUUCAUAUGGUCUUUGCUCUGUCUCUGGAUGCUGAUUUGUAAUUUGUAGCUACCUUGGUACAUGGUGACACAUUUUCUGUGGCUGUGCAUAUUGAUUGUACUUGAUGCAUCGUGCAUAGCGCCUCGUUAAUUAAAAAGCAGUAAAGUGCA